UACGUAGGGUGCGAGCGUUAAUCGGAAUUACUGGGCGUAAAGCGUGCGUAGGCGGUUUGUUAAGACAGGUGUGAAAUCCCCGGGCUUAACCUGGGAACUGCGCUUGUUACUGCACGGCUAGAGUACGGCAGAGGGGGGUGGAAUUCCACGUGUAGCAGUGAAAUGCGUAGAGAUGUGGAGGAACACCGAUGGCGAAGGCAGCCCCCCUGGGCCGAUACUGACGCUCAUGCACGAAAGCGUGGGGAGCAAACAGG
rnacentral:rRNA from 1 species